rnacentral:rRNA from 1 species
UCCAGACUCCUACGGGAGGCAGCAGUGGGGAAUAUUGGGCAAUGGGCGCAAGCCUGACCCAGCAACGCCGCGUGAAGGAAGAAGGCUUUCGGGUUGUAAACUUCUUUUGACAGGGAAGAGCAGAAGACGGUACCUGUCGAAUAAGCCACGGCUAACUACGUGCCAGCAGCCGCGGUAAUACGGAGGAUGCGAGCGUUAUCCGGAUUUAUUGGGUUUAAAGGGUGCGCAGGCGGCCUGUUAAGUCAGCGGUAAAGGCCGGGGGCUCACCCCCGGCGAGCCGUUGAAACUGGCGGGCUGGAGUUGGAGAGAAGUACGCGGAAUGCGCGGUGUAGCGGUGAAAUGCUUAGAUAUCGCGCAGAACCCCGAUUGCGAAGGCAGCGUACCGGCUCCACACUGACGCUGAGGCACGAAAGCGUGGGUAUCGAACAGGAUUAGAUACCCUUGUACU